GAUCAAUGGUAAGAAGUGGAAGAUCUGUUUUAAAAAAAAUAAAAAUCUUGGGUUUCAAACGCCAAAAACACAAAGAAUGGAUCAAACCAGAGACAUGGAAUCUGAUUGACAACAGGAAAGUGUUAAAAAAAGAUCUGCCAUACACACUCUGAUAGAUUAAAAGAUAGACUAAUGGGUCAAUACUCCAACUGUAAUAAAGAAAUUAAGAAAAUCACAAGAAAGAUCAAAAAGAUUUCAUCGAAGGAAUGGCUCUAGAGGCUGAAACAGCUGCUUCAGAGCAAAGAAUGGGCGACCUUUAUCAAAUUACUAAAAAACUUUGUGGCCACAAAAAAAAAACCCCACCAACAUACCAGUUAAAGACAAACAUGGGGAUCUAAUAACAUCUGAUAGAGAACAAGAGGGUAGAUGGAAUGAACAUUCCAAAGAAGUAUUAAAUAGGCCAGACCAGAAACAACAGCAAACAUACCCAUCGCAGAACAUGACAUUGAAAUAAACAUAAAAAUUCCAUCUAAAUCAGAGAUUAUCGGAACAGUAAAGAGCCUUUAAACCAACAAAGCCCUCGGAAAUGAUAAGCUAUCAGCAGAUCUAUUUAAGUCAGAUCCAGUCUUAACAGCGAACAUUCUGCACACAC
rnacentral:lncRNA from 1 species